UUUGAUCCUGGCUCAGAUUGAACGCUGGCGGCAGGCCUAACACAUGCAAGUCGAGCGGUAACAGGGAGUAGCUUGCUACUNNGCUGACGAGCGGCGGACGGGUGAGUAAUGUCUGGGAAACUGCCUGAUGGAGGGGGAUAACUACUGGAAACGGUAGCUAAUACCGCAUAACGUCUUCGGACCAAAGUGGGGGACCUUCGGGCCUCAUGCCAUCAGAUGUGCCCAGAUGGGAUUAGCUAGUAGGUGGGGUAACGGCUCACCUAGGCGACGAUCCCUAGCUGGUCUGAGAGGAUGACCAGCCACACUGGAACUGAGACACGGUCCAGACUCCUACGGGAGGCAGCAGUGGGGAAUAUUGCACAAUGGGCGCAAGCCUGAUGCAGCCAUGCCGCGUGUAUGAAGAAGGCCUUCGGGUUGUAAAGUACUUUCAGCGAGGAGGAAGGCAUUAAGGUUAAUAACCUUGGUGAUUGACGUUACUCGCAGAAGAAGCACCGGCUAACUCCGUGCCAGCAGCCGCGGUAAUACGGAGGGUGCAAGCGUUAAUCGGAAUUACUGGGCGUAAAGCGCACGCAGGCGGUCUGUCAAGUCGGAUGUGAAAUCCCCGGGCUCAACCUGGGAACUGCAUUCGAAACUGGCAGGCUAGAGUCUUGUAGAGGGGGGUAGAAUUCCAGGUGUAGCGGUGAAAUGCGUAGAGAUCUGGAGGAAUACCGGUGGCGAAGGCGGCCCCCGGACAAAGAC
rnacentral:rRNA from 1 species